CUUCACAAUUAGCAUAAUCUUGGGUGGAUGAAUUCAUGCCUUGAAAAUGAAUAAUUUUAGUUCAUUUUGCCAUGAAGUUAUGAAGAAAAAGAACUCUCUCUCUAUGUCAUCUAUAGAAUCCUGAUCACUAUACUCAAGAGCUGGAGAAUUCCCCUCCACUGCUGACAGCUGAGGAAGAGGUGUUGUGAGGCAGGUGUCAGCUGAUGUUGCAGAACAUGGCUCUCUUCUGUAGCAGGAAACACGUGAAAGUAACGAAGUUGGCAGCUUUCAUAGACACCCUAUAAACAACACCCCUUUCUACUUUCAGCACUCUCCUGGGAGCAGCACGAUGCACUUCAUUAAUAAGAAGGGAUUAAAGGAAAAAGCCCUCGUCUCCUAAUACACUUGGAUAAUUUGGUGCCAUCCACAAGGCAAUAGACCCCUGCUGCAUAGAUGUCAUUAGAAAGGUACAAUUUCAUUACUUUUUACUGGCAGAGCCUUGAGUGAAAUACAAAAUAUGUUGUCUCAUAUGCAGGGGAAAAAAGUGCUAAAGCUUUCAUUCACUU
rnacentral:lncRNA from 1 species